rnacentral:rRNA from 1 species
CCUACGGGAGGCAGCAGUGAGGAAUAUUGGUCAAUGGACGAGAGUCUGAACCAGCCAAGUAGCGUGAAGGAUGACUGCCCUAUGGGUUGUAAACUUCUUUUAUCUGGGAGUAAAACAGGGUAUGCAUACCCUCUCGUAUGUACCAUAUGAAAAAGGAUCGGCUAACUCCGUGCCAGCAGCCGCGGUAAUACGGAGGAUCCGAGCGUUAUCCGGAUUUAUUGGGUUUAAAGGGAGCGUAGGUGGAUUGUUAAGUCAGUUGUUAAAGUUUGCGGCUCAACCGUAAAAUUGCAGUUGAAACUGGUAGUCUUGAGUACAGUAGAGGUGUGCGGAAUGCGUGGUGUAGCGGUGAAAUGCUUAGAUAUCACGAAGAACUCCGAUUGCGAAGGCAGCACACUGGACUUCAACUGACAUUGAUGCUCGAAAGUGUGGGUAGCAAACAGGAUUAGAUACCCGAGUAGUC